AUUGUUGUCCAGGCGGUGCAAGUGGGGUUUCACCACCUCAAUAACAAAGCUAGCCGUUGGGGUUGCUACUCGAGGUGAUAUGGGUCUAUGUGAAGUUUUGGUAAUAUUUGGGCUCAAGGAGAGCAGUUUUGGCCCUCCAAUUAUUGAGCAAGAGCAAAGGGCAGAAGGUGUUUGAUGGGUGUCUUGGAUAGCUAAACGAUUCCCGUGGCUAUGAAAC
rnacentral:lncRNA from 1 species